rnacentral:rRNA from 1 species
GCAUGGGGAGGGACUAGCCAUGCGAGUUGUGCGCCUUCGAGCCAUGGUGGAGGCGCGGCAUACGGCUCAGUAACACGUGGCUAACCUACCUUCGGGACGGGGACAACCCCGGGAAACUGGGGCUAAUCCUCGAUGGGUGAGGAGGCUUGGAAUGGUUCCUCGCCGAAAGGGCGCUGAAGCCAUGCUUUUCAGCGUUGCCCGAGGAUGGGGCCGCGUCCGAUCAGGUUGUUGGUGAGGUAACGGCUCACCAAGCCUUUGACCGGUACGGGCCGUGAGAGCGGGAGCCCGGAGAUGGGCACUGAGAUAAGGGCCCAGGCCCUACGGGGUGCAGCAGGCGCGAAAACUCCGCAAUGUGCGAAAGCGUGACGGGGCUAUCCCGAGUGCCGUCCGCUGAGGAUGGCUUUUCCACGGUGUAAGGAGCCGUGGGAAUAAGGAGAGGGCAAGUCUGGUGUCAGCCGCCGCGGUAAUACCAGCUCUCUGAGUGGUGGGGAUGAUUAUUGGGCUUAAAGCGUCCGUAGCCGGCUCGGUAAGUUUCUCGUCAAAUCCAGCGACCUAAUCGUUGGACUGCGGGAGAUACUGCUGGGCUAGGGGGCGGGAGAGGCCGAUGGUAUUCUCGGGGUAGGGGUGAAAUCCUAUAAUCCCGAGAGGACCACCAGUGGCGAAGGCGGUCGGCUAGAACGCGCUCGACGGUGAUGGACGAAAGCUGGGGGAGCGAACCGGAUUAGAUACCCGGGUAGUCCCAGCUGUAAACGAUGCGGGCUAGGUGUUGGGGAGGCUACGAGCCUCUUCAGUGCCGCAACGAAAGCAUUAAGCCCGCCGCCCGGGGAGUACGGCCGCAAGGCUGAAACUUAAAGGAAUUGGCGGGGGAGCACCACAAGGGGUGAAGCUUGCGGUUUAAUUGGAUUCAACGCCGGA